rnacentral:pre_miRNA from 1 species
GAUUUCAACUGAAAAAGUCAUUCAUAACAAACUUGUAUAACUCAUCAGGAUUUAUAACUUUUAUUUUGGUCAUUUCUUCAUCCGACAAAGUGAUUUGCAAGAUUAUUCAUAAAAUGUAUAGGUCUUAUAUAGUUGUAUAAAAACUAUAUAAGAGAUGUACAUUUUAUGGACAAUCUUGCAAAUCACUUUAUCGGAUGAAGAAUAAUCAACAUAGAAGUUAUAGAUCUUCAUGAGUUAUACAAUUUUGUUAUUGAUGACUUUUUCAAAUGAAAUC